rnacentral:misc_RNA from 1 species
GACGAAGUUAGAAGAGGCAAUUGUUGUGAUUCAAGCUAUGAUAGGAAUCGUCUCAGAGUAUGUACCCCUUCAUUGGAAAACAUCCCAGUGACAGCAGUAUCUUCAGAAAUACUCACAGCCUCAGAUACAUUUUCUUGUGAUCUAGCAGAGUCCAUCUUUUUUCCUCUACGCCCUUUAGUUGGGCGGCUGUGCAGCUUCCAACAUUGUUCUU